GGCUGGGCUCGAUGCACGGGACGGCUCACGAAUCGGGUCAGGCCUUGACCGGAGCAGCCCUAAGUGUCGUCGGCCCGGUGCCGUCGGUGUCCUGGCCGUC
rnacentral:SRP_RNA from 1 species